rnacentral:tRNA from 1 species
GAUGAAAUGGCCGAGUUUAGGCAUUAAAUUGUAAAUUUAAUAACGAAGUAAUCUUCUUUCAUCA